rnacentral:lncRNA from 1 species
UUCUCGUUGAAAACAAGCAAAGGAGAGUUUUCAGAGAUACUUACCGGCGGUUUCGAUCUUCGGAGACCAUUUUCCGACUUGGAUAUCGAACCAAAGGAAGUGUCCUCUCGUUUACCCGUAACUCGGGUCAAGUACCAUGGCGGAGGUGGAGGCGUUAACGCCGAUGAAACCCAGGAUCGGUGUUUGCACGAUGACAUUAGAGUUCGGCCGAAUGAGAGGGGAAAUGGGCUUUAGGAUCUGUUGUUUCCUUUUCAAAUGGCCAAGUGAUCUUUUUUAGGGUUUCUUUUCCUUAUAUACAACAUAAAAUGGCGCCGUUUGGAUGGGUAAGGGUCCGCGCGUUGACCCGAUGGGCAGGCCAGAUCCGCGCCCUUUUGUUCUGAAUGGGAAAUUUGCGCCAUAGGUCCUCCCCUUUUGCGAGUGCAUUCAAUCGAACCUUUUUUUUUCUUUUUUUAAAUUAGCUCUUUAAUUUGCAUGUAUUUUAUACAUGUACAUACGUCUUUUAAAUCUGUUUUGUGCGUUAUGUCUCGUCUUGUACCCUUUUUAUUCUUUUGCACAUAUAUUAUUUAAAUUAUUAUGUACUGUGUCAACUUUUAAAUGAAUUUGUGUCUAAAAUAUUUUACAUGCAAUUUGAUUCAAAUUUUUAUUCUAUAAUAAUAUCUAUUCUUAAAAUCAUAUAGCUAUCCCUAGUUUUCAUGCAAAUUUGUCAACCUAUAUAUAUGGGUCCAUUUAUCCGUUAUUAUUUUAAAACCGUUUUAUAGCACAUUGGCUUCUAAUUGCUAUGUUGUUUUUAUAUCUUGCAUUGGUUAUUCUAUAUCAUGCUAUGUACAUUAUCGUGGCAUAUUAUUGUAUGUAUUGUUUUGCUUGUGUGAUUGUUAUCAUUUUCGUCAUUGUAUUAUUAUAUCAAUUAUUCACCAUGCAUUAUUGUAAUCGGGUUGCAUUUUUUAGGUUAGCUAUAUUUAAUUAUUAGUUUGUUAGUUGAUCGUAUCUCAUACAUGUCUAUUACCCCAUUCAUCGUUUUUUACUUGACUUUUGAAAUGUGGUUUUAUAAAACCCAAAUUUUAUGGUUAAUUUCGUCUUAUUUCAAAUCGAAUUAAUGCGUUUUAAGCUAGUUUCACAAUUAUUAAAAAUCCCUUAAACGAAGGCAAUAUGCGAUAUUUGGUAAUUCGCGGAAUCGUGCCCUAACGUGUUGGGUUGCAAUUUCCCGUUUGCUUAAAAUAAUCAAAUAUCCCUUCAAGAUUUCAUUCAUGUCUUCUAAAAAUCCUUUAAAACGAAGGCAAUACUCGGUGUUUGAUAAUUCGAGAAUCAUGCCCUAUCGUGCUGGGUUGUGAUUUCUCGUUUGUUCAAAACAAUUGAAUAUUCCUUUAGGUUUUCACUCGUGUUUAUUAAAAACCUUCCAAAACGAAGACAAUACUCGGUGUUUGAUAAUUCGGGAAUCGUGCCCUAAUGUGUUGGGUUGUGAUUUCUCGUUUGUUCAAAACAAUCGAAUAUUCCUUUAGGUUUUCACUCGUGUUUAUUAAAAACCUUCCAAAACAAAAACAAUACUCGGUGUUUGAUAAUUCGGGAAUCGUGCCCUAAUGUGUUGGGUUGUGAUUUCUUGUUUUUUUCAAAACAAUCGAAGAUUCCUUCGAAAUUUCACUCAAGUUUUCUAAAAACCCUUUAAAACGAAAGAAAUGUUCGAUGUUUGGCAAUUCGGUGAAUAGUGCCCUAUCGUGCUGGGUUGCAAUUUCCCGUUUGUUCAAAAUAAUCGAAUAUAACUUCAGAAUUUCACUCGCAUUUUCUAAGGCAAGGCAAUGUUCAAUGUUUGGAAAUUCGAAGAAUCGUGCCCUACUGUGCUGGGUUUCGAUUUUUCUUUGGACCAAAUAGUUGGGCAUCCUUUUGUAAUUUUCAAUUUUCGGACAUCAAAACAAUAAGAUUUUUGGCAACCAACUUGGGUUAUUCAAAUGUUAUUAACAAGAACCACAUUUCAAAAACAUUUUUAAUUUUAGAUAAAAGGACAGUAUUUAAUCAGUUUGGUACCAAUUUUGGGCGUAAUGAGAGUGCUAAUCCUUCCUCAUGCGUAACUGACUCCCGAGCCCAUUUUCUCAUAUUUUCGUAGACUAGAAUCGUUGUUUUAGUAAACCAAAAAUGUUCUAUUAAAAUAACCAAAUUCUUAGGUGACCCGAUCACACCAAAACCAAAGGAUCGGUGGCGACUCCACGUUUUAUUUUCAAAAAGUCGAUUCCCCCGUAUUUUCAUUAUAUUUAAAAUUUUAAAAACGUUUGAAAAAGGGUGGUUUCGACAGCUUGGCGACUUCGCUGGGGAACCUAAGAGAGUCUGGCCAUAAAAUUGAUUAUUUAUUGUCCUCUUGUCAAAGAAAUUGAAAAUUUGUUUUAUAAUGAUUGCAUUUGAUUGUAUGAUCAUUUUGGUACGGAUCUUGUAGAAUAAUGUUGCAUUGCAUUGCAUGACCACUGUGGUCAUACCUUCUAAGUGGGAGUAAGAAGCUACGCCUUUGUGAGGUUCUCACCUCCGCAUGGGCUAGUGGAUUGCUUCCGGUGUACAUCUAUACCUAUGAUUUCGUGAGAUUUUCAUCUCCGCAUGGUCAUAGGGAAAUGUAUCCCCCUGAACCGAACUUGAUCCAUAUGAGCCUAUAAUGGGUGGGGAUUGAGGAAUUUGCUGGUUCGGGUACCCUUACUCUAGAACCGAGCCACAUAUAGAGAGACCUAGGAGCUUACCCUAGGUAGAGCCACUCCGAACCUCUAGUGAUCACCUGAUUAGGUACUUUGUUGGUUGUUUAUUUCUAGACUAACGUGUUUUGUUUUUGUUUGUUCAUGACUAUAUUGCAUUAUAUCAUUAUAGAAAUGAGGUGUUGAUUCAUAUUCAAUUGCUAAAUAGAAUAAUUUGUCAUAAGAAAACGAAUUUCUUAAUAACGUGGAUUACAAUACGGUUGUCCGAAUUUGGUCUAAGUGAACACGACAGAAGAGGGCUAACAGUUCGUAGAGGAAAACAAAACUUUACCUAAGGAUUCAAGCUAAUAUAGAUUAUCCAAAAGCCGUCGCGUCCUGACUUUCUUAAAGGAGCUAAUCAACAUUGCGAGGAUAGUAAUUCGUGGCCUGGAUCAAACCAAAAGGAGCUAGUAGAGGCAUGCAUUGGAAGCUUGCGAGAUUUGACUUUCACGAAGAAAGGGGAUUAGUGCCUUCGCCUGGAAUACGAAAGCAAGGCCGUAUACGUAAUCCGUUUUAUGAAAAAGAAUUGGUUUUAUAGAAAAGUUGUUCUAGGGGAAUUGAAUUCAAAAUCAACAUCUUUCUUUCCUUUGUAUUUAUCCCAUGCAUUUGCAUUGCAUUGCAUCAUGUGCAUUGCAUUGCAUCAUUUGCAUUAGAUUUUCCCAAAAUGACCCUAAUUAGGUAAAAUUAUUUCAGAACAGACAAAAGAUAUGGACCAAAGGUUAGAGAGAAUGGAGCAAAGGCAAAUACAGAUGUAAGAGCAAUUGAUCAGAAUUCAACAAGAUAUGCGAUAAAUGCUAGGACUCCAAAGAAAUAUGAUGGGCCAGUUAACUUAGUUACUGGCCGGAGAAUUUGAAAAAAGGAGUGGCCAGUGGUCAAUAGUGAGGAUGAUAUUGAAGAGAUCAUCUAUACCCCAAGCUUUACCCCAAUAAGCAUCCCGACCCAACCAGACAUGCAAGGGGUACCCGUUGUUAGCAGACACCAACAUCAGACGGAUACAUCGGCACUGUUGAGCUUCUCGAUGGGUUCAGAUUUUAACCCGGAAGAUGAUCAAGCCAAGCCAGUUGUUCUGGAAGAAACGAAGGAAAGGGGAGAGUGGACUUUAAAGGCCCCAAAGAAGAAGGAAAAGAGAGCAAGUAGUACGAGUAGGUAUAACAAGGGUUGUUCGGAGCCGAUUAUAGCAAGCCAGCCAAUGAGGGUAACUACCAGCCAUCAGGCCUCCCCAAGGCGAGAACCCGAUCGAAGACCAAACUCAGAAAAACCCCAAUACACACCUAUUCCAAUCACGUACAGAGAGUUGUACCACGCUCUGUUCGACGCACAUGUUGUAUCCCCUUUUUACAUGAAACAUAUACAACCCCCAUACCCUAAAUGGUAUGAUGCAAGUAACCAAUGUGAAUACCAUGCGGAAAUUACGGGGCAUUCCAUCGAGAACUGUACCGCUUUUAAAAAUAUUAUCGAAAGACUCACCAAUUUGGGUAUCGUAAAAUUCGAUGGUCCCUCUGAUGCAAAAAAUCUGUUACCCAACCUAUCGGUUAAAUAGGUAAAUCUGAAUUCCAUGAUGGAUAAGGGCAUGAAAUCCAAUGGUACAUCAAGCUUAGAACUCUAGUGUAAGACCUGAUAUUGGGGAAUCUAAACAAUAAUUACGAAGGAACCUGGGAAUAGAAUUUCUUGAGCAUCUGCCCUUACGUACUUGGAAAUGUUUUGAACGAUGGAACUGUGGAAGCGAUCUCUUUUUAGGGCUAAUCUAGAGUAAUAUUCAAAACACGCUUGUUGUUUUAAGCCUAGAAGCAACAAGAAUCCUUUUGUGAAAUAGGCUUGUGUCCUAAAUCUUUGUUUCAAUAAAAUGCAUCUUUUUUGAGCAAAUAUUCUCUUAUCUCAUACUAUACGAAUAAUCGUUCUUAGAUUCAUUUGUUCUUUAAAAUUUCUUUUAAAUAUUCAUUUAUUUUUCAUUCAUGACCAUACCAUACAAAUAAUCACCCUUAGAAUUAUUUAUUCUUUGGAAUAUGCCUUCGUACCUAUAACAGGUCUCUAGACAUCAAUGACGUGAGCGACGCUGUCACUAAUUCCAAGUCUCUUUGUUGAGCAUGAUAUGUGUCUAGAGGGAUCUUAGGACCUUGAAGAUGACAGAGAUUGUGACUUAUUUCCUGAUUUGUUAAGGACGGUAGAACAAGAUGAAAAAAAAUUGAUCCUACUUUACGAAGGGUCAAUGGACAUUGUGAACAAGGGGCAAAGAUUGAAACUUGAGUCACCAUAGGGAAAAAAUGAAUUGUCUUUGAGUUACUUUAAGAAAUUCAAAUAUGUUUUCACAUGAUCAUGUCGAGAUCAUUUGAGAUAUUAAGAUCGGUGGAUGAUACAAAAUGUCUAUACAAUGCCAGAAGAACACUUGUUAAAGGUUUUAUGGUAGCCACGCUAGUCAUGAGGUUUGGGUAUUGUUAAUCCACCAUGGAAGGGGAUUGCAUUGGUUAAAGCCACAUUCAUUUCCCCACAGAUUUUCUCUAUAUGAGGCAAGGAUGUUAUCAGGCCAUUCUCAUCAAUUCAUCUUGGCAGUCAUUGAUUACUUCACGAAGGGGGUGAAGGUCGCUUCAUAUGUCAAUAUUACAAGAUCAAUAGUCAUCAAAUUUCAAAAAAAAGGGGGGGGAGGGGUUUCUGACGAGUAAUGUCAGAAAAGAUCACUUUCAAAUACAACUGCACAAUGUCAAAAGUUUGCAGUUUGUUCAAAGAUCAGACACUAUAUCACAGUGCAGAAAAGGCAUCCAAAAAGAAAAACAAAAGUUCAAAAAUAGAAAAGAAAAAAGGAAAAGCAAACAAUAGAACAAAAGUCGUAGUGAAAAAUGACUGAGUCUUGUAAAUAUUGGCAUAAAGAAGUUAUCAUUUACCCUCUAUAUUUGUCGAAUGUGAGCCUGGAACCUUCACCGGGGCAACACAUUGAUUUGUAUGACUGAAAUAGUUUUUGAAGAUGGGAUUCCUUUUCUUCGAUUCUUGGCAGGACUAAAGUUAGAUGAAUCAUAAGAAGUCCAAUCCUGAUAUGAUUAGUCAAAGGGUGUCCGUCACAGUUAGAUGAUGCAGGCAUAUGACAGGAAGAUUUAUCCUCGAGAAUUUCAUGAAGGGAGCUUGAUAUUGAAGAAGAUCUUUCCUAUACAAAAGGACUUCAAAGGAAGAAAUAUGCCAAACUAAGAAAGAGCUUAUGUAAAGAAGGCUUGUUUUGGAGGAACAUUGGUAUUGACCAAAAAGAUUUGCCCAGUUUGGGGAAGUUAAAAUACAGUUAAAGAGUAUUCUACCUAAAAGGGAGAGGCCAAGGUGAAAACCCGCAAAGGGCGCCUUGAGUUUUUUAAAAAAAAGAAAAAGAAUAAGAAGAAGAAGAAAAAGAAGAAGAAGAAGAAGAAUAAGGAGAUCGAAGUGAAAAAUAAAAAUAAAAGAGAAGGAAAAUUGAAAAAAAAAUAAAAAAUAUAUAAAUAAAUAAAUAAAUAAAAAGAAGAAGAAGAAAGAAAAGGAGAGGCCAAGGCGAAAACCCGUAAAGGGCGCUUUGAGACAAAAUGGGAUUUGAGCUGAAAACCCGAAAAGGGCGGCUCAAAUUUGGAUUAAAAUGGGGCAUACAGUGUCUUGCUACGCCUAAAUUAACAAUGAAGAAGUAUGCUACGUCUCGGGGCAUCGACAAAGUACCCCGGAUCCCCUAAACACAUAUUGAGCUUAGAAAGGUCCUCAAGAAGUUGGUACAGAGAAGCUCAAGCUGCGAUAUCUGGGGCACCUAGUUUCCACUUUGCUCAUUUUGAAUUUGUUAUCUUUGAUUACCUUAUUCUUUUCAAGAUACGUCCCAAUAAACUUCCUUCUUAUUGCAUCGUUAUCUUUAAUUAACUUAUUCAUGUUGAGUUAAUUGGCUUUUAUGGCAUUUGCAAUUUUUUAUUAAUCUAUUUAUUUCAAGCUACCCUCCUAAUAAAUUCCCUUCUUGUCCAUUGUUUUGAUCCUUUUCAAGCAUUUUGCAUUGAAAUAACGAUUAAUGGACUAAUAAUACCUUCGUAAAAGGGGUUCUGCAUAUUACUCUGGAAGCUUUUAAACAGUAUAGGAACCUGAAACAAGACCAUCAUUUAGAACUCACCAAGCCUAGGGGUUGAAAAUGUUUCUAAAUUGCGACUAUCUCUUUGAAUUUUCUGUCAAAGAUAUCAGUUGAAAGAAGAGGCAAGAUAUUUCGUCAGUGAUACAACCUCGACAAAUAAUGAGCAAUGUCAACCUAAGUGUAAAAGGGGGGUCAUUCUCGAGAAAAGAAAAAAUAGUACUCUGCAUUCAUGUAAAUAUCGAGCAUAUACAAUGGGUCAUUACACCCAGGGAAUGGUGUAACAGAUCAAAUUGAUUUAAAAUGAAAUAAAUCCUAUACCCUGAGUUGCAGUGUGUUGGAUAAGCAAAAAACUCCAUAAAGUUUGAGUGGGGCAAGCUUGUCGAGCAGAUGAGAUUGUUUUUUCGAGUUUUCUAUUAAGAAUGCCAGCUAAACAAGAUGACAUAAUAAUACGUCAACAAUAAAACCUCGGUGAACGACGAGUAAUAUCAAAUCAAGCAUUAAAAAUGACAUUUUGCAUUCAUACAAACGUCAUUCAUACACAUCUACCUAGGAGCAUUUGGCUCAUUCGAGUCAUGGCAUCCUAAUCAUUAGGCAUGAACUCAUACGCAUUAUACAGGUUAAAUCCUUCAAGGGACAAUGAAAAUUGAUGUGCCUUAAUCCCCUAAGCAGUAGGGUAACAGGCUAAAGCACAGCAGAUCUGACCUUUCUUGAAGCAGAUCCAAGCAGAUUUGACGUUUUUGUAUUGUUAGAGGGCAGAUCGAAGAUAACAGAUUUGGCGUCUCUGUAGCGGCGGAGAGCAGAUCGAAGAUAACAGAUUUGGAGUCUCUGUAGCGGCGGAGAGCAGAUCGAAGAUAACAGAUUUGGCGUCUCUGUAGCGGCGGAAAGUAGAUCGAAGAUAACAGAUUUGGCGUUUCUGUAGCGGCGGAGAACAGAUCGAAGAUAACAAAUUUGACGUCUCUGUAGCGGCGGAGAGCAGAUCGAAGAUAGUAGAUUUGGCGUCUUUGUAUUGUUAGAGGGCAGAUCGAAGAUAACAGAUUUGGCGUCUUUGUAUUGGCGGAGAGCAGAUCGAAGAUAACAGAUUUGGCGUCUCUAUAUUGGCGGAGAGCAGAUUGAAUAUAACAGAUUUGGCGUCUCUGUAUUGGCGGAGAGCAGAUCGAAGAUAGCAGAUUUGGCGUCUCUGUAUUGUCGAGGGCAGAUCGAAGAUAACAGAUUUGGCGUCUCUAAUUGGCGAAGAGCAGAUCGAAGAUAAUAGAUUUGGCGUCUAUGUAUUGGUGGAGGGCAGAUCGAAGAUAGCAGAUUUGGUGUCUCUGUAUUGGCGGAGAGUAGAUCGAAGAUAGCAGAUUUGGCAUCUCUGUAUUGUCAGAGGGCAGAUCGAAGAUAACAGAUUUGGCGUCUCUGUAUUGGUGGAGAGCAGAUCGAAGAUAACAGAUUUGGCGUCUCUGUAUUAGCGGAGGGCAAAUCGAAGAUAGCAGAUUUGGUGUCUCUGUAUUGUCGGAGGGCAGAUCAAAGAUAGCAGGUUUGGCAUCUCUGUGUUGAUAGAGAGUAGAUCGAAGAUGACAGAUUUGGCAUCUCUGUAGUGGCAAAUAGCAGAUCGAAAAUAACAGAUUGGUGUUCCCGAGUUUUCAAGAAGCAAGUUGAAGAUAACCAAUUUGACACUCUUGAAGACAUCAGAAUACUUUAGGGAAGAAGAGGAUCAAGACUUUAAGACUUAGUCAAACCGGGCAAAUUUGGUCCUUUUUAUAGACUUUGCUCCAUUCUCGUUACACGACAAUGAGCAAAGAGGGGCAGCUGUAAGGCUCCAAUUAUACCCGGGCCCGUAUGAAAAUAAAAAUAAAAUGAAAAUACAAAAAAAUAAGCCAAAAUAUAAAAUCCAAACAUUAUAACCCAAACAUUAGCCCACAAAAUACUAGGCCCGAAUGGCCCAAAAUCAUAACACCAACAGAAACCCUAGGGUUUCCCUUGCGCCGCAACAAGCCUCCAGCAGCCUCCAAGGCCUCUCCGUACCUCUGUACGCAGCACCGCAUGCCAGCUGGCCUUCUCCGUACCUACAAACAAACGAGACCGACAGCAGCAAAUAGGACAGAAAAAGAAAAUUGUAUUUUAUUUUUAUUUUUAUUUUUAUUUUGAUUUCGGCUAUAAAGCCUUUUUGAUUUUUGAUUGUAAGGGGGUUCUUUUUUACGGGCACAAAAAAACGCAUAUUGAAUACAAAAGCAACCAAUACUAGAAUGUGAUUUCCAUUCAUAGUCUGCCUAUUCCUAUUUUGCUUUUAAUAUUUCUCGUUGAAAACAAGCAAAUGAGAGUUUUCAGAGAUACUUACCAGUGGUUUCGAUCUUCGGAGACCAUUUUCUGACUUGGAUAUCGAACCAAAGGAAGUGUCCUCUCGUUUUCCCGUAACUCGGGUCAAGUACCAUGGCGGAGGUGGAGGCGUUAACGCCGAUGAAACACAGGAUCGGUGUUUGCACGAUGACAUUAGAGUUCGACCGAAUGAGAGGGGAAAGGGGCUUUAAG